rnacentral:rRNA from 1 species
GAGGGGCAGCGGGGUUGUAGCAAUACAACUGCCGGCGACCGGCGCACGGGUGAGUAACACGUAUGUAACCUGCCCUCUGCAGGGGGAUAAGCGGAAGAAAUUCCGUCUAAUACCGCAUAAUACAAUUUGGAGACAUCUCCGGGUUGUCAAAGGAGUGAUCCGGCAGAGGAUGGACAUGCGGCGCAUUAGCUAGUCGGCGGGGUAACGGCCCACCGAGGCUACGAUGCGUAGGGGUUCUGAGAGGAAGGUCCCCCACACUGGUACUGAGACACGGACCAGACUCCUACGGGAGGCAGCAGUGAGGAAUAUUGGUCAAUGGGCGGAAGCCUGAACCAGCCAAGUCGCGUGAGGGAAGACGGUCCUAUGGAUUGUAAACCUCUUUUGCAGGGGAGCAAGGCGCGGUACGUGUACCGCGAAGGAGAGUACCCUGAGAAAAAGCAUCGGCUAACUCCGUGCCAGCAGCCGCGGUAAUACGGAGGAUGCGAGCGUUAUCCGGAUUUAUUGGGUUUAAAGGGUGCGCAGGCGGACUGUUAAGUCAGCGGUAAAAAUGUCGGUGCUCCACACCGGCCGGCCGUUGAAACUGG